UGGCCUUUUACUCGGGGAGAGAGACGGAAGGGGACGUGCGGGUGGGUGUCCUGUGGCUGAUGCAUCGGUCAGAGGGUUGUUGGAGGGAUGGGAGGCCAUGCCGCUCUGGGAUCGAGAUAGAGAGACAGAGGGAGAGGGAGACAGAGCGACAGAGAGAGAGAGAGGGAGAGGGUGGUUCGUUUUCCAUUUGCUUCCUGGAAGUCGAAGCUCCAAUUGCAUCCAUUGUCAUUUCGAUUUGGGAGAGGGUGGUUGCUGUAGCCUGUCGGUGAGAUUGAGGGAUGGGUGUGAGAUUCGGUGAGGUGAAAGGUUACAGGGAGAAGGAGAGACAGGCAGAGAAAGGGGGAGGCGUGGGGUGAAUAGGUCCCCAUAUGAACAAAUCCAUGCUCAGAACUAAUUUAGGGUUAGGGUUCUGAAAUUAAUUUUCCCCCAAUUUGCCCUCUCUCUUAAAUCACCAUAUCCAGGUGGAUUACCAAAAGGAGCUCAUAAAGUAUUCUGCGAGCAUGAUCGACCUUGAUCAUUUGGAUAUUUAAAGGAGCCAUUGAUCAGGGGAAGACGACGAGUUGUGAACCUGUGUGCCAAUUUUGCCAAUUUUGCAGACAAGCAGAAACUCUGACACAGUGAUCAAACAGGCUUUCAAUUUUAAUUUCUUUUUUCUGGUUUUAGUUUCAAGUUUUGGAAGCGUUCUCAAUUUUUCAAAAAUUUCAUGAAUUUAUUGCAUUUUUUAAAGCAUGAUCUGAUUUUAUUGUAAUUUGAAAUUUUUUGAUCUGGGUAUGCCUUUUUUAUUAUUUUUGCUAAUUGGAUCUGAUUGUUUUGGUGUUCAGAGUAUGGAAAGUAAAAAAUUUCAACUUUGGCGAACAAUUAUCUCACUUGGACAUAUAUAUGGGUUGAUGCAAAGUUUGAUCGGAUCCAGUUGUUGGAUAUUCCCUGAAGUACCAAGAAGGAACUGACUACUGGGAUUUUUUUGGCAACAGGUGGACCUAAAAACAGACCAAGUAUGCAAGGGAAUGCUAGGAUCAACGUAUGAGAGUAAUAUACUGCCGGUUUGCUGGUAAAUCAUUUUUCAUAAAAACUAUUCAUACUCUGAUCACAAUUGCUGAGAGUCUCAAGAGCAAUUGAGUUGCUGUUGAAAAGAGUAAUUUACGCGUUUGAAAAAGCUCGAGAGUUGAAUGUGACAAAGUAAGCAGAUCAGCAUGUAAACCUGAAACCAAGAAGCUCAAACCCCGAGAAUUCGAUGUAAUUAACCUUAAUUAUGUGACUCAAAAUCUGGGGCAGCUUCUGGACCUUAUUCUCAGGAAGGUAACAUUUUUAAUUAUUUUCCUUAUCAUUUGAUUGGGUUUUUAGUUGACGAUUUCAAUUUGGUGCCAUUAAGCUAUCACCCUCAGACCUCAAAAUUCAGGUAACCCCAUGAUUUUAAUAUUGCUUCUCCUGUUUUAUCUAAUUAUUGUUCUAUGAAUUGUAUUCUUUAGUUAAAUAAUGAUUAAUUAGAAUUUCUAGGAAAAAAACUCAGGCAUUGUAGUGUUUGAAAUGAUAAAUAUAAAUCCAAUUUGGCCAUUAGCCAGUCAGAGAACCUAAUUUGGGAAGUAGGUUUUAAAGUUUCAAUAGUUUCGUUGUGUGUAAUUUUUUGUGCUUUGCCUACCGGGAAUCUAAUAACCAAAGGCUUGCUUAUGUUUCUCAAAUGGUUUUUAACUGUAUGUUUCGUUUCUUUACUAUUUUCAGAUGAUAUAAAUGAUCAGUUCUGUGAUGCUGUUAAGAAAUGAAUUUUGUGAUGCUGUUAAGAAUAAAGGAUCUAAUAUAUUUGAUUUGUUGUCUACAGAGAACCAAGGAACUUGAUAGCACAGAUUUACUAAGUCAAUUACCUGCUUUGCGAUAGCUUCUUUCUCCCUUCUUGAUUGCCAGGUACUAUGAAUUGGGACCCGACAAUCCACCAUACGCUGCCAAGUUCUACAACUGUUGUGGGGCUGCACUUCCAGUUUCCAUGUUUUGUAUGAUGACGAUUGAUCCAUAUUAUUAUGAGCUGCAAAGUACUGUUGGCGAAAUAGGAAAAAAAAAAAAAAGGAAAGGAAAACCAUUCAGAGGAAUCUUAUAACUUGGCAUGUAUCCUCACCCUCCCUCCAUAUCAAAGAAAAGACUAUGGAAAAUUUUUAUUGCCUUCUACGCUCGAAAUGCUUGAGAAAAAAUGAGAGUACUACAGAAGGCUGCUGCAAAAGGGUAAGAAUAGCUGCCGAGAGCUACUACAAUUUUUGUUAAUUAAGGGUCGGCAACUUACUUCGGCAUUUGUAAUCAUCAAUUCUUGACUCAAGCAUUACUUAUGAAGAGUGAAGUUGUAUAACUUUUGGAGUUAACAUUUUGAGAAAUAGCUUUAAAUUUUUGUUUUCA